UGGCCCUAGGCCCGAGUUGUAAUUUGCAGAGGAUGCUUUUGGUGCGGUGCCUUCCAAGUUCCCUAGAACGGGACGCCAGAGAGGGUGAGAGCCCCGUACAGUUGGACACCAAGCCUUUGUAAAGCUCCUUCGACGAGUCGAGUAGUUUGGGAAUGCUGCUCAAAAUGGGAGGUAUAUUUCUUCUAAAGCUAAAUACCGGCCAGAGACCGAUAGCGCACAAGUAGAGUGAUCGAAAGAUGAAAAGCACUUUGAAAAGAGGGUUAAACAGCACGUGAAAUUGUUAAAAGGGAAGCGCUUGUGACCAGACUUGCGUCCGGUGAAUCACCCAGCUCUCGCGGCUGGGGCACUUCGCCGGCUCAGGCCAGCAUCAGCUCGCUGUCGGGGACAAAAGCUUCAGGAACGUAGCUCUCUUCGGGGAGUGUUAUAGCCUGUUGCAUAAUACCCUUCGGCGGGCUGAGGUACGCGCUCCGCAAGGAUGCUGGCAUAAUGGUCAUCAGCGACCCGUCUUGAAACACGGACCAAGGAGUCAACCUUAUGUGCGAGUGUUCGGGUGUCAAACCCCUACGCGUAAUGAAAGUGAACGCAGGUGAGAGCUUCGGCGCAUCAUCGACCGAUCCUGAUGUUCUCGGAUGGAUUUGAGUAAGAGCAUAUAGGGUUGGACCCGAAAGAAGGUGAACUAUGCGUGUAUAGGGUGAAGCCAGAGGAAACUCUGGUGGAGGCUCGCAGCGGUUCUGACGUGCAAAUCGAUCGUCAAAUAUGCGCAUGGGGGCGAAAGACUAAUCGAACCUUCUAGUAGCUGGUUUCCGCCGAAGUUUCCCUCAGGAUAGCAGUGUUGAACUCAGUUUUAUGAGGUAAAGCGAAUGAUUAGGGACUCGGGGGCGCUAUAUUGCCUUCAUCCAUUCUCAAACUUUAAAUAUGUAAGAAGCCCUUGUUACUUAAUUGAACGUGGGCAUUCGAAUGUAUCAACACUAGUGGGCCAUUUUUGGUAAGCAGAACUGGCGAUGCGGGAUGAACCGAACGCGAGGUUAAGGUGCCAGAGUAGACGCUCAUCAGACACCACAAAAGGUGUUAGUACAUCUUGAC
rnacentral:rRNA from 1 species